GCAGCCUCUUAGCUUUUUGCCCUACUCGUCGUCCGCUGCCUCCAUUUAUCCGUCUUCACCUUCGUGAAGUAGCAUCAAGGUGGGGAGGAUGUUAAGCCAGGGGGCUCUAGUGCUUUAGUAGAUUUCGGACCAUGGAAGUACAAUCCCGAAGACCUUUAAUUUCUGCUUAAGUAUAAAAAGAAUAAAUUCUUAGACAAAGGAUUCAAACAAGUUUAUUUUGGGUUUAAAUUUCUAGUUGUUUCUUUGAUGUUGGUUUCAUAUGCUUGAGUAGGGUAAUACAUUAAGACUUAAGUUACAUUGGUGA